UUUAUUCGGGUAUGUUUUGGAGACAACUGUUUAUAGAAUUUUAUUGUAGAUAUAUACGAGAACAGAGCGGUACUUUACAUGAUUACUUUUCCUGUUGAUUGUUCAAAUAUAAUUUAAGAAAAUUCCACUUAAUAGGCUUAUCUAUUUCUAUGUUUUUAGAUAGUUGAUGCAUGUGUAAAUUUGUAGCUGUCUUGGAAAGUACUGUGCAUGUAUGUAAUAACUAUAUAAUAUGUGGAAUAUUAUAUAUGACUAUUACUUAUACAUGCACACGCACUGUGGCUUAAAAUACCAUACCUACUAGCAAGGGAGGUUCAGUCAGACUCUCUUAUAUUAUUUACCUUCUGUGUUAUGUGUUACUUUUAUGUUAGACAAUCAGGGUUUUGUUUUUUCAGCCAGAGUUUUCAUCUAUAGUCAACAGCAGAUCGGUACCAGGUCAGAAAUAAGUUUACAAAGAAAUCCAUGUAAUGCACAGCCUCUGUAUAAAAACUCUUAUUUCUAUCAGUGACAUCAAAGCCUUGUCAAGAUGGUCCAUACUGAGUUGGGGGAAAGACUUUGGAGCCAUUUUCCUGUUUUGAGAAUUGGGCUGCAGAUAAUAUUGAAAGGCAUGGGAUGCUUUUUGACCAAACAAUUAGACAUUUCCUGUUUUAUACCAGAACAUAUAAAACACUGUUUUUCUUAGGGUUUGGAUUUCUGGUUGUGACAAAAACUUGAUUUUGGUGCUCAGUGUCUUCAACCAAUACGGUCUGUGCAUUAUUACCACCAGCCAUUUGCUCUAGAAAAAUAACAGUAAAAAAAGUAAACCAGUUCCCAGUGUCCAUCGCCAUUUGGGGUAAACAUUUUCUCUCUAAUCAUUUUUUGACAAAGAGGCAGAAGUAGAACAUACAAGGUUAAAAAGUAUUUCUUGAUAUUCAUCCUUAUGUAUUUGUUAGAAAAAACAACAAUAAAAUGGGGGAGGCAGAGCUUUCUAUGUCAUUCUAGCCUGGGGCUUCUAAUUUUCUUCAACUCCAAAACACUGUAUUAUUAAAAUAUAGCAAAAACUUGACAGAUUAAAAAAUAUGUAUUUAUUCUAUGGAAGGAAUAUACCCAAUGCCACAACUACUUUCUCUGCAGUUUGAAAUUGCAUUAUCCAUCCAUCCUAGAUUAUAUUUUUAGGAGCCCUUAAACUUACAGAAUGCAAGAGUGACAUCAAAAUCAGAGAAUUUGGGCAUUCUUGUAUAAGUUCUCAUCUCUCAGGUAAAAUUAAGCAUAAAUUCCAAGACAUUUGUUUUGUCCAUGUCCCUGAGGCCUAUGUCUUUGGUAUUAUCUGAGCCAAAGUAAGAUUGUUAAAAAUGGAAACUAUGAGAGAAAUUUACAUUAAGACAGUGAAAAUUACAAUCUCCUUAAGUGUAGGCCAGACUGUGCAUAAAGACCUGCCAUUUUUCCCUUAUCAAACACACAGCGCUCCCCCCUCCUUUCUCUCUCUCUCUCUCUCUCUCUCUCUCUCUCUCACACACACACACACACACACACACACACACCUGCUUUGUAAAUUUCAAAUCAUGGGGACCUUGACUGUUUUUCAUUUCCUAUGAUCUCCUAAAGUUCAUGGUCAAGUGCCAUCUCCAUGUUGCCUCAGAAUUCCUGAUUGGUGAUCAAAACAGUAGUGUUAGUCUUUUCCUUUUAGAAAACGAAGGCUUUUCUUACCUCAUGAUUGAUGAAUUCCAAACCAAUGGGGAAAAACAAAAAGGCUUUAAAAUAAUGAAUCUCUUUCUCGACUAGUUAUAUUCAAUUAAUUUAACUACAUUGAACCAAAUUACCUUUGGUUUAAGAAGACAGCUGUAGACUGCUUAUUAUGCUGCUACAGGGACUCAAUUCUUUUUGGUAUAAAUGUCACUCCUGCUAGCUCUUUGUAUAAAGAAUUAAUUCCAAGAGUCAUAUUUCCUUCUAAUGGAAAGAUUACUUUACUGAUUGCUAGGAAAGCAGGGUAAUGGAAGGCACUCAAUUAAACCAAGCCGUUUCCAAAUGCAAUGUAUGUUUUAUGAUUGGCUUGUGAUAGGCGAUGCUUAAUGUGUCUACUUGGUGUUUCCCUUUGAGCUUUGAACUUAUGUCAAACUUUGUUUUCAUUGUUCUGUUGGCCUAGUGCUUCCCAUUGUUAGCUUGUAAUUCCUGCUCUGUUGCAAAGGGAAUCAUUCGUUGCCUCCAGUUUACCUUAGAGGAUUUAAAUUGGCUCAAUUGAUGAAGUAGCUGAGAAUUUUUUCCUCCCUUGUCCCAUGGGUGGUGUAGGAAAAAAGAUUGUUCCCCGCAUUUGUCUCGGGAGAUGCUGGUUUUGAUUUUGUGUCAUUUCCACUAGUGCAAGCAUUUCAUUGGGACUGCACGAACUUUUUGAAGCCAGGGACACAGGAAACAGAGCUAGCAACUGAACCAGAACAAUGCAAUGGAAACCAACCAGUACAAGCUCAGCCCACUUCAGUUGAGAAAAGAGAUUUUCAGUUUUGGCUACAGUUGCCAAAUUUCCCCUGACAGGAGAAUCAAGUCAUGUUUUUCAUAGUAACAAAGCCUAAAAAAGCUGCCCUUUGAACAUCUCUUAUGACUACAUGUCAAGAUAUUUUGAAAAUUUGGUUAAGAACAACUUUCUUUACAACAUACAAUCCCAGCACUUUGUCCUUUCCCCCUGGGAACUAACAAACACACUCCUGACAAGGUGUGCAAUGGAAGAAGGAAUCCAUAGUCUGUACUCCUCACUUCAUGCUUCGUAAACGACAAUCACUGCAGAUGUUGCACUGUCUCUGCUCAGGGAUGUUUCAUUUAAAAAAUAAAAUAAUAAAAAAUAUAUAUAUACAUCAAGAAGGAGGGGAAAAACAGGAAAAUGACAACAAAAUUUCAAUGGCACAAAUUAAAUAUGCCAGUGAGAGAACCUCUAUGACAAGGCUUUCAGACCCAUGUGUAAUUAUUUCAUGUCAUAAACUGAACUGGCCUCUAUUAUUUGGACUUACCUAAAAAUUGCAGAUGAAUAAGGAAAACUUACUUUUAUUUUCUAAAAUCUUCUAAGAGUCAAAUAAUCAGGUGCUCCAUUUUUAGGAGUAGAUAUGCCCCAGAAAAUCCAAGCUUCCUAUGCAAAUCCUAAGCAAGAAAAAGAAGGGAAUCUAACUGGCAUUGGAUGACAUUGACAAGGGAAGUAAAGCUGUGCAGAUUUGAGAGCCAGUGUAUCUGUGUCCAUAGAAGAAAGAGCAAAUUUUGAAAGGAAAAUAAGAGAAGCCUGGCACAGUGGUGCAUGCCUAUAAUCCCAGUGGCUAGGGAGACUGAGGCAGGAGGAUUACAAGUGAGGCCCUAAGCAACUUAGUGAGACACUGUUUCAAAAUAAAAAAUAAAAAGGGCUGAGGAUGUGACUCAGUGGUUAAGCAUCCCUGGGUUCAAUUCCCAGUUCUAAAAAUUAAAAAAAGAAGAAGAAGCAGAAGAAGAAGAGAAGAAGUUCCAAAUCUGCUUUCACUUCCCACAUGACAACUUGCGUCAUUGCAAUAGCCCCUUUUCUGCGGCUCUUUUAUUCUCAAAGAUUAAAAUCUGAGGGAAGAGAUGUACUGUAAAAAUGCUCUUCUGGAUUUCCCUUGUCUUAACACUGUCUUCAGGGUUCUGGAUAGGUACAAAGAGGAAUAUCAUGAUCUCUGGGGUAAGUAGAUGUCUUUGGCAGAAUCUAAGAGACCCUAAAUUGUAAUGAACUCUGUAUGUCAACAAGACAUGUGAGAGAGAUAUCAGUGUUAUUUCCUUUGUGGCUGCCUGGUUCAACCCCUAACUUCCAACAGUCCAACUAAACUGUAGAGAACCAGGCAGAUGGAGAGGCAAUGCACAUUCACUCUACCCUGUUACGUGUACCUGGCCUGAGUGCAAAAACAAUUCUCAUGUCACAGGGUCAACAGAAAACUUACAAUCCCCCCCGCCGAAAAAAAAAAUCAGAGGCAAAUAAUGUCAAUGUCAUUCCAUGUUCUUUGUUUCUGUUUAUUAAAGAAACAAAGAAAAAUUCUACUGCUAUUGGAAAUUAGAGAAAAUAAUUUCUUCCUGAUUCUUUUUUUUUUCUCUUUAAACAGUUGUUUCCAAUGAAGUUACUACAAUAGGUAGUUAACUCAGACAGGGACGUCUAUAAUUGAACACAAGCACCAGUCAAUAGAACAGCAAUAACUAUGGAGCAUGCAUCUGGAGUGAAACUUUGCACAAAGUCCCUUUAUAAAGAAGAGGGAAAAGCUGUCCAUCUGUUUUAGAUGAAGUGCUAUCUGAUGUUAUGUUGGCAAAUGCUAGUACAAACAGCAAAUAGAAGUGAAGGCCUGAUAAGGGAAACCAGGGGGAGCUUUCAGAAAAGACCUGAAAUCUCUUAGCGGGUAAGAGGGUGCAAGUCUCAGGCCCAUGUCCAUUUAAAGCAGAGGUUAUAAAUUCAAAAGCCUAAAAGGACCAGGGAGUGGAUGCAAGUGAGAGAAGCAGUCCAGCAGCAAGCUGGCAAGGAAAUAACCCACCUAACAGAGGACAUCCACUGUGAGGCUGAAGCUCAGCAUUGCUAGAGCUAGUCCUGUAAAAUGUCUUGAGUUGUAAAUAAUGGCAGUUGAUGCAGAGUGUAGACCAAACAAACAUACCUGGGAACAGAAGAGUCCCCUGAGACUGCCAGCUGCAACCUCUGGUUUAAAUCAAAAUCACAGUCUAGCAGCCUAUUCGUCUGUAGAAAAUGUGGCCAGAUUCAUCCAAGGAUGACAUUAGAAUAAUACUAGUGUGGAAGGGAAAGAAGGAGAGAUCUUGCCUUUCUGGCUUUCAGUUAAGUUUCCAUAUGGAAAUAUCACUACUCAAGGAUAUAGUUAGAGGUUAGCUGAACAAAAUGUUGGUAUAAAAAUGAAGACAAUUCAACUUACCAAUGGCUAAUAAAAGAUACUUCUAUUUGUCUUGCCCAAAUUUCCAUCUUGGAUAGCCAGGGGGCUAGCUUUCUUGCCACUUUUUUUUCUAAAAGUCAAAUGCAUGACUUUCGUGUUUUCAAGUCUCAACCUGCGUGGUUCACUGUGUGGCUUCAAUAUCUGCAACAAGUUCUUACUUUCCCUCAGUUGGAUGCAUCUGAAGAAUUUAUUCUGUAAUCAUUGAUAGUGUGGUCCCCCCACAUUCUGAGUGCAGACCUCAGGUUCCUAUGCAGCCGGUGGGGGUUGUCUGUGCACUUUUUUCCUAUGAUAUUGAAAUUGUUCUGAAUCGAAUGGGCCAUGGUCAUCUUUGCCUCUUGCAUGACCAUACGCAUGACCUCCAGUGGAUCAGAGAAAGCAGCUCAGUGAUUAUUCUCACAGCCAAAACGAAAGCACAAGGGUUACUGGAAUUGAAUAAGCCCAGUUCAGGAACACAGGGUGUCUGCUCCCCAGCUGAGCAGCACUUUAUCUCUUAUUCAACUACUCUCUUCUGGCUGUGGCUGAUGGUAAGCACUGUCGUGCCUCUGUCACUACCAUAUGUAGACACACGUGAGGUAUGUCUGAAGAGCUACAAAUCCCACAUCCAGACACGGUACCGUCUGCUUCAUCUGAUUAACACACACACACAAGAAUGAAAACUACACCCACAGAAAACUGAGUAUGUAUUGUAGAAAUGUAGAGGAAAAAUAAAAUAUUUUUUCAAAUGUAAUUACUUUUAAUAUAUGCUUGUGGAAGGUCUAAUACAAUGUAUGCUGUCUCUAAUUUUUGCUGUAAAUAACUGGAGGCAGUGAAUACACUGAUUUUUCUAUGUCUCUGUUUAAGCAUAAGACUUUGUAACAAUUUUUUUAGAGGGGGAAAACAACAAAGAGCAAAUAUGUACUUGCUUCCUUUCUGAGUGUCAUGUACUUCUCAGUUUUUUAAUGGAAACUGGUUGUAACAGUUUAAGCAUCCUGACGGGUCAUCCGUGUUAAGUGUAUGCUUCUUUUUGUAAUACAAUGGAGAAAGGGACAGGGCUGUCAAUUAAAUCUGCUCCAAAGAAUUUGAAUUGAAGAUUGGCCUAAGAACUGCAAACUCUAUCUGAACUAGAUGAUAUGAAAAAAAAAAGUUUAAAAAAAAUCAUUGUCUGAAUUAAGUCAUCUUUCCUUGUAGCAAAUGGCUUUGUCCAAAACCUUUCUGCAUGGAAUAGCUUAAGGAAAACAAACUUUGCUUUCUGAUGAACAAAAUAUUUUUGUACGCGUUUAUUUCUUAUUAAUAAUCUGAGGUCAGACCACUCAUUCGCUGAAGCCAUAACUGACCUUCACCAAAUAAAUGCUGUAAAGAACCUGGGGGAGGGUGGGGAGAGACUGAGAGGGAGGAAAAUCCAAGGUGUCAUGAAUAUAGAAUCACAGGCAGGAGCAAGUCCAAUGAAAUUGAUGCUUUUCCUGCAUCCCAAAUAUGACUUUAAAAGGCUAGUAUUUUAUGAGGAUCGAUUUAUAAUAAUAAUAAUAAUAAUAAUAAUAAUAAUAAUAAAAGAUAUUUAGAUUUAAAUGAGACUUUCCAAUAUUUUUUAAAUCCCUGACAAUGCUUCCUUGCGUUUAGGAUUGAGAGAAAUGAUUUUCAUUACUUCCAGCGUUCAGAGAUUUAAUGUUUUUACCUUAGCUCCAGCCUAUACUUGCAAAGUGCAGAGGAACUCCAUGUCCUCCAGUGAUUGACACCAUGGUCUGUCUGGGGCUAGGCUGUCCCCACUAACCACCAUUGCACCUGCAGGGGCAGUGUGGAAGAGGUACAGUUUGCAUCUCAUUAGCAUGCACACCACUCUUGGCAAUGCACCAAAGUUGCAUUGCCAUGAGUAUGUAAAAUAAAAGUCUUCACUCUGAAAUGCAUAAUAAUUAUAUCUUUUUAAAAGAAUAAUGCCUCCUAUAGUCAACCAUUGAUUUUUCUGGAGUUUAAUUACAUCAUCACCAUGUAUUCUUAUCAGCCUAUAGAGGCAAAAAGCAAACUACACUUAAACCCAGUGACAUAUAUAGUUUUUAAAUCUACAAUUUUCUUCUCUCUCUCUCCUUGUUUAAUAUAUAAGCCCUAAUUUCUGUGUAUGUGAGUAAAACUGCAGCCUGAGUCAUUUAGGAAGUAAGCAUUGAGUUUUUUAAAUUAUAAAUAUACUAGAUUAAAACAGCACUCCCUAACAAUUAAAAAAGAGUUUUAUAUUACUUUAGAAUGUAAUAGGUUUUGUCCUUAUUUUAUGUCCUGUAAAUUAUUAGUUGAAAACUGUUAGCAUUCCCGGAUAAUGCACACAUGAUUUCUGAAUGUUUUCUGUAAAUGACAAUCAAUGUUUAUGAAGUUCCCUCCUUUAAUGCUGAACAAAAUUAAAA
rnacentral:lncRNA from 1 species